GGCGCUAUAGCCAAGUGGUUACGGCGACAGAUUCGAAUUACAUAGUAUCUGUUCCUCUUUGAGGGCGCAGGUUCAAAUCCUGCUGGCGUCG